rnacentral:misc_RNA from 1 species
CGGCCCAACUUUCCGCUUCUCGCGCCUCCUCGUCCAUCGCCUGCUGUCUCCGGCAAUCGCGCCGGUGCUCUCUAUUAGACUUGCAACGUUUGACCGUUCACCCUUACACACACGUAUGCGCCCAUGUGCUUGUGUGGGCGUCUUCACGAGCCGACGCACCCCUCCUUCUGUUGCAUGCCAAAUUGCAAAACACGCAUUUCUAACGGGCACACCACAACAUCGCUUCAUGACAGUACACAGACCCGCACGCCGCUGAGCUCGGUGUGGAUAUGACUGUGCUCAAGGGUGAGGAGCUGCUCGAGAAGGGCUAUGGCGGCAUCUACGCUGUCGGCAAGUGUGCGCAGUACCCGCCGCACCUGGUGACGCUGCGCUACAGGAACCCGAACGCCGCUGAGGGCGCCAAGAAUAUUGCGAUGGUUGGCAAGGGUAUCGUGUACGACUGCGGCGGCCUUGCGCUGAAGCCAGCGGCGCACAUGACGAACAUGAAGACGGAUAUGGGCGGCUCGACUGGCGUGUUCUGCGCCUUCAUCGCGGUGGUGCGCAGCAUGAAGAUGCAGAGGACUCACUUCAGCCACAUCGCCAACAUCAGCGUGACGCUGUGCUUGGCAGAGAACGCGAUCGGCCCCCACUCGUACCGCAACGACGACGUUGUGGUGAUGAAGUCGGGCAAGUCGGUGGAGGUGAUGAACACGGAUGCGGAGGGCCGCAUCGUGCUGGGCGACGGCGUGUGCUACGCGACGGGCGAGCAGGACUUCGUCCCGGAUGUGCUGAUCGACAUGGCGACGCUGACGGGUGCGCAGGGUGUGGCGACGGGCUCGAAGCACGCCGGCGUUUACGCCAGCGAUGCCGAGGCGGAAAAGGACAUGAUCAAUGCGGGCCUGCGGUCCGGCGACCUGUGCUACCCAGUGCUGUACUGCCCCGAGUACCACGAGGAGGUGUACAAAAGCCCUUGCGCCGACAUGCGCAACACUGCGAACUCGCCAUCCAGCGCCGGCUCGAGCUGCGGCGGGUACUUUGUCGAGCAGCACCUGAGCGAGCGCUUCAGGGGCCCCUUUGUGCACGUUGAUAUGGCCUACCCCAGCUCCAACAUGACUGCGGCGGACGUAGUGAUGAUGAGUCCCUGAUGAUGCAGGACGUGCGCAGCACGCACGGAGGCAGCCCAUUUCUGGUGUGAAGGGCAUGAAGAGGGGGGAGGGGGUGGGAAGGAGAAAACAAGAAUACUCGAGGUGGCCGAAAGGAUCUCUGGUUUUAGGGGGCGCACUCCGGAGGUUUGCGGGGGAACGAAGUGAGUGGUGUGGAAGCAAAAGGAAAGUGCCAAAGUCCGCAGGUGGCAGUCGAGCGGCAGAGGAAGUGCGGCUGAGCGCAUCUUGGCUGCCGAUGCACAGCAUGAAGACGAGACGUGCUGUGCUGCGGCGAAGCAUCGCUGAAAAAGCGAUUGCGUGAAGGCGUGCCGUCGUGCCGCUCGAUACACCCCCAUCGCAACUGGGUCGCAGAGUUUCUUCUCGCGCCGCUGUGCGGUAUGCUCUCCCUGUGUUUAUGUGGGUCUGCUUUAGGUAUGCCAGGCGCACGCUUUCUCUAUCCUACUCGCUCCCUCCGACAGCGCGGCGAGUGGCGCGUUUGCAUGUACACAUACGUGCACAUGUGUGUGUGUGUGUGCAUCUUUCCACUUCGUAGUCCCCGAUGACGCGUUCUCUGGCGGGCCGGCGCCGCCAUCAUUUUUCAGCCUUUUCUGCUCGAUCUUCUGCCGCCCUUUCGUAUUCUCUCGCCCCCUACAAACUGGUGUGAGGUCGUCGGCGUGUCUUUUCGCUUUCCCGAGUGCGUAGGCGCUGAGGGUUGCUGCUCUGGCUCCGAGUUGUGGUGCGUUGUUGUAGCUCGCAUGGGGGGUCCCCUCUGACUUGUUGCUUCCUUUUAUGCCUUCUCCCUCUGCCACUCUCUUCAUCGGGUCUCAGGGACGCACCGGCUUUGUGCGUCGAAUCCUAUGGGCGCGUUUCCCUCUCUACGCGUGUGCAUGUGUGUGUGCGUGUCCAGCCUAUGCGCGGACUUUGGGCGAUAGCGGUGACGCGCGACAAGGAUGCAGAACCAAAGGUCGUUUCGUUAAGCGACUCGGUGCGACACUGCUGAGAAGGGGCGGAAAGGGUUCAUUGCUGGCUGACCGUGCCUUCCUGUGCGGCUGGCUGCCUUUGGCGGCUUUCUUUUUUAGCGUCUCUUGCUGUCUCUCUCUUGCAAUGCUGUUUGCCUGUGCGUGCGUGCGCACGUGCAUUGGUGGCGCGAGUGUGCAUGUGCCCUCGAACCCUCUUCCUUUCACUGCUAUACACGCCUCCUCUUUUGUGCUUGGUCUCCCUCUUCUCCCUCGCGCGUUCGAGUCUGUGUUGACUUCGCCUUCGUCUGCAAGUCGUCUCUUCUUUCCACCGACCUCGGCAGCCUGGCGGAUGUAGAGAGAGGAGGGGCGUCACAGAGGGACGGGAAGGCAUUGCGGAUGACGACCCCAGCUUCUUCGCCUCCACGGCGUUAUUCACUUUAUCACGACCUCCAUCGUAGCUGUAAGCGGUGCCGGCAGUGCACAGGAGGGAGAGGGCCGGGGGGGGGAAGAGUUGGAGAGAGAGAGAGCGAUCGUGCCACACACUGUCGUCCUUGACAGAAAGG